CAAAUUCCGAGGCAGGGACCACACGUCUGUGGGGAAACCUAGCACUGCACACGUACAGAAUGUGGGGUGCCAGAUGGUGAAGAUUUGCAGACUGAAAUCUCAACAUCAUUUGCUGAUCGUGAUAUAGUUAACCAGCAUUUGAAGAACCAAAAAUCGAGAAUCACUCGGCCAAAAUGCUGCAACACUCUCCUCACGGCAUCGUCAGUCUAUCUGCACCAAAUUGACUGUGAAUGGUUCAAGACAGCAACUCACUACCAUCUUCUCAAGGGUAACGAGAGAUGGGGAAUAAAUGGUGGCUGAGCCAGUGAUGCCCAUA